rnacentral:rRNA from 1 species
UACGAAGGGGGCUAGCGUUGCUCGGAAUCACUGGGCGUAAAGGGUGCGUAGGCGGGUCUUUAAGCCAGGGGUGAAAUCCUGGAGCUCAACUCCAGAACUGCCUUUGAUACUGAGGAUCUUGAGUUCGGGAGAGGUGAGUGGAACUGCGAGUGUAGAGGUGAAAUUCGUAGAUAUUCGCAAGAACACCAGUGGCGAAGGCGGCUCACUGGCCCGAUACUGACGCUGAGGCACGAAAGCGUGGGGAGCAAACAGG